rnacentral:rRNA from 1 species
UGCGUAGGCGGACCUGUAAGUACGUUGUGAAAUCCCACGGCUCAACCGUGGAAUUGCUUCGUAUACUGCAGGUCUUGAGAUUGGUAGGGGUUGUCGGAACGAUAGGUGGAGCGGUGAAAUGCGUAGAUAUCUAUCGGAACGCCUGAGGCGAAGGCGGACAACUGGGCCAAAUCUGACGCUGAGGCACGAAAGCGUGGGGAGCGAACAGGAUUAGAUACCCUGGUAGUCC